UUGCUCUCACUUCAGCAGCACAUAUACUAAAAUUGAAAUGAUACAAAAAAGAUUAGCAUGGCCACUAUGCAAGGAUGGCACGCGAUUUUGGGUGACAUGGGCAAUUAUU